rnacentral:rRNA from 1 species
GACGAACGCUGGCGGCGUGCUUAACACAUGCAAGUCGAACGGAAAGGCCCUGCUUUUGUGGGGUGCUCGAGUGGCGAACGGGUGAGUAACACGUGAGUAACCUGCCCUUGACUUUGGGAUAACUUCAGGAAACUGGGGCUAAUACCGGAUAGGAGCUCCUGCUGCAUGGUGGGGGUUGGAAAGUUUCGGCGGUUGGGGAUGGACUCGCGGCUUAUCAGCUUGUUGGUGGGGUAGUGGCUUACCAAGGCUUUGACGGGUAGCCGGCCUGAGAGGGUGACCGGCCACAUUGGGACUGAGAUACGGCCCAGACUCCUACGGGAGGCAGCAGUGGGGAAUAUUGCACAAUGGGCGGAAGCCUGAUGCAGCAACGCCGCGUGCGGGAUGACGGCCUUCGGGUUGCAAACCGCUUUCGCCUGUGACGAGGCGUGAGUGACGGUAAUGGGUAAAGAAGCACCGGCUAACUACGUG